rnacentral:rRNA from 1 species
CUAAGGUAGCGAAAUUCCUUGUCGGGUAAGUUCCGACCCGCACGAAAGGCGUAACGAUUUGGGCACUGUCUCAACAACAGACUCGGUGAAAUUGUAAUUCCGGUGAAGAUGCCGGAUACCUGCGACAGGACGGAAAGACCCCAUGGAGCUUUACUGUAGCUUGACAUUGGGUCUUGGUACUACAUGUACAGGAUAGGUGGGAGGCUUUGAAACCAGGACGCCAGUUUUGGCGGAGCCAUCCUUGGGAUACCACCCUUGUAGUACUGGGACUCUAACCAUAGGCCAUGAAUCUGGUCUUGGGACACUGUCAGGUGGGCAGUUUGACUGGGGCGGUCGCCUCCCAAAAGGUAACGGAGGCGCUCAAAGGUUCUCUCAGUACGGUCGGAAAUCGUACGUAGAGUGUAAAGGCAAAAGAGAGCUUGAUUGCAAGACAUACAGGUCGAGCAAGGAUGAAAAUCGGACUUAGUGAUCCGGUGGUUCUGCGUGGAAGGGCCAUCGCUCAACGGAUAAAAGCUACCCUGGGGAUAACAGGCUUAUCUCCCCCAAGAGUCCACAUCGACGGGGAGGUUUGGCACCUCGAUGUCGGCUCAUCACAUCCUGGGGCUGUAGUAGGUCCCAAGGGUUGGGCUGUUCGCCCAUUAAAGUGGUACGCGAGCUGGGUUCAGAACGUCGUGAGACAGUUCGGUCCCUAUCCGUCGCAGGCGUAGGAAAUUUGAGAAGACCUGUCCUUAGUACGAGAGGACCGGGAUGGACGUACCUCUGGUGUACCAGUUGUCCUGCCAAGGGCAUGGCUGGGUAGCUAUGUACGGAAUGGAUAAGCGCUGAAAGCAUCUAAGCGCGAAGCCAACUUCAAGAUAAGAUUUCCCACCGCAAGGGUAAGACCCCAGAAAGACUAUCUGGUUGAUAGGUCGAAGGUGUAAGUGCAGCAAUGUAUUUAGCUUAUCGAUACUAAUAGGUCGAGGACUUGACCAA